rnacentral:rRNA from 1 species
UGGGGAAUUUUGGACAAUGGGGGAAACCCUGAUCUAGCCAUCCCGCGUGUGCGAUGAAGGCCUUCGGGUUGUAAAGCACUUUUGGCAGGAAAGAAACGUCAUGGGUUAAUACCCCGUGAAACUGACGGUACCUGCAGAAUAAGCACCGGCUAACUACGUGCCAGCAGCCGCGGUAAUACGUAGGGUGCAAGCGUUAAUCGGAAUUACUGGGCGUAAAGCGUGCGCAGGCGGUUCGGAAAGAAAGAUGUGAAAUCCCUGAGCUCAACUUUUAAACUGCAUUUUUAACUACCGGGCUAGAGUGUGUCAGAGGGAGGUGGAAUUCCGCGUGUAGCAGUGAAAUGCGUAGAUAUGCGUAGGAACACCGAUGGCGAAGGCAGCCUCCUGAGAUAACGCUGACGCUCAUGCACGAAAGCGUGGGGAGCAAACAGG